AGCGAACGCUGGCGGCAGGCCUAACACAUGCAAGUCGAACGAAGUCUUCGGACUUAGUGGCGGACGGGUGAGUAACACGUGGGAACGUACCUUUUGGUUCGGAACAACUCAGGGAAACUUGAGCUAAUACCGGAUGAGCCCUUAGGGGGAAAGAUUUAUCGCCGAAAGAGCGGCCCGCGUUAGAUUAGCUAGUUGGUGAGGUAAAGGCUCACCAAGGCUACGAUCUAUAGCUGGUAUGAGAGGAUGAUCAGCCACACUGGGACUGAGACACGGCCCAGACUCCUACGGGAGGCAGCAGUGGGGAAUCUUGCGCAAUGGGCGAAAGCCUGACGCAGCCAUGCCGCGUGAAUGAUGAAGGUCUUAGGAUUGUAAAAUUCUUUUACCAGGAACGAUAAUGACGGUACCUGGAGAAAAAGCCCCGGCUAACUUCGUGCCAGCCGCCGCAGUAACAC
rnacentral:rRNA from 1 species